GCUGUGUUAAGAGGAGAAGCAGGGCUUCUUAUAAGAUGCUGACCAAGUGUUAAUGAACACUCAAGAGUGCUGAGGCAGGGCAAUCUUGCGUUCUCCAGACCGCCUGCCACAACAGUCCACUACACGGAGGUCAAGUAAGUGGAGUUCUAACAUGACGCUUCACUGCAAACGUCCUGAUACCCUGACAUCUAACUCCACACAAGUCAGCCUAACCGAAAUGAGAACAGCCACGCUACAGAAUGAGGGGAUUAACAGCACUGACUGCAUUGGUCCCCGGUGAGAUGUACUAACUUGAGCUCUAGCAUCAACUCCUUAAGGGUGUAGCCAACCCACGU